rnacentral:lncRNA from 1 species
GGGCUUUAGGGGAAAAAGGUGAUGGGGCCAUGGUGGUCGGCGCCCUGGAUACCCCAGGGGCCAUGGGCCCCUAGUUCUACAUGAAGACCUGGGCCCAGGCCCUCCCAGGUUCUUCUAGUCCUAUCUCUGCCAAAUACCGAUCUAAUAACCCAGAGGAGAACAGGGUCGCUGUGGUUAGAGACGCUGUUCCCCUCCGCGCCUGACUCCACAGUUACUUAGUUACUUAACCGCGCAUCUGCUGAUUUGAAGCCUUGAGUGCACACUUGCAGAGCUUCCUUCCGGGACUUCGUGGCAGGGAUUGCAAGAGGCCCCUGGUCUGGCAAGGAACUGACCCAGGGAAAUUCUGUCCUUUCUGACUAGAAAAGGCAUAAAUUGGAGACAGCGAGCCAAUGUUGGUGAGACUACAGAGAAAGAGGCAGACCGAGCUAACCAGACCCGGGACUUGUCUUCAUCUGCAAAUGGCAAAUAAAGAUGAACAUGUUCAACUGAUGGAUGAGAAGCACAUCCAGGCCCAGGAUUCCUUCUACUACUCUGGGACUCAAGCAGAUACAUGGCUUCUGUUCUUGAGGAAAUUGAGAAUGUAGAAGGAUGCAAACAUUCUAGACAUAAGCAUGAACCCAUUGACCCAACAAGUACAUGUUGAACACCUACAGUAUGCUAGACAGGCCCAGGUAAAUGGCUUGGCCCUGAAGACAUAGGUGAUAUUUUCAGAAUAAAAUUCUUCUCCCUUUCUCUUGUUUCCUUAACACUGGUAGUCAAACCAUUGACUGAUCAGUAUGUGCAGGUCCAUGAGCUUUCUGAAUGUAACCAUUGUAUUCCCCAGUCUACCCAAGUGAUGAGGAAAUAACAAGUUUUGGGUCUGAUUCCCAGAAUUCUUGAUAGAAAUAUACAAACGAGCCUCUUAAAUCUCUUCUUGCACAUGGAAAGCAAGCUAGCCAAGGAGAGACUUUCAUGGGUCAUUAGGUACCGUCCUGCUGCUCAAUGUACUUUUAAA